CCAAUUCUAACUGUUGCUUCCUGUCCUGCAUACAGGUUUCUCACUUGAACUAGUAUAAUCUUCUUACAGGCCUUCAGCACAAUAAGAAAGGAAAAAUGAUACACUGUCUGUGUAUACCACUUCCACAUUAUUUCCUAUCCUGUCUCUGCUCAAAUUUUCUAAUUCCAUUCAUUUACCUCAUCUGAGAAAUAAUCCUCCUUUUUCUCAGGGUUGAAUUCUCUUGGGGGAAAUUUCUUUUGGUAGAGAGUGUCUUUUUCUCAAGGAAAUCAAGAAAAAAAUAAGAUUUCCAAGGUUUUUCAAAGGGGAAAAAAUGAGAAUAAUGUGGAAGUCAGGGCAGGUAGAGAAGUGUUUUCAACAUCUAGGAUACCCAAAAACAGCAAAAACAAUUAGAAAUCAUGGCAUGGGAGGGACUGCUAAAUUAUCAAGAGCAGGAAGUCUACCAGAAUUCACCUUAAGUCUGGAUAGCUCUAGGGAAUCACUACUAAAACAAGAACUAGAAAUGUGUCUGUGAAUACCUAAGAGAUAAAUAAGAAAAGAGCUUAUAAGAAAAACUAAGCUUACAUUUCAGUAUAGACCAGGUAAUAAAAGAUAGACUUCUUGAUUCUUAUAUUUCCUUGAACCUUUUAAACUUCCUCCACAUGUAUUACCAAUGACACACUCUUUUCCUUGGGAAUCUAUGACACCAGAUUCCCCUAGCUUUCCUCCUUCCUUAUUAGCUGCUUCUCAGUCUCCUUCUGAACGCCCUUCACCUAUGCAGGACCAGUAAGGACUGGAACUAAGGCUCAGACAUGGACCCCUUUUACUUCUCUACCUACAUUUUCUUCUUAUAUCACAUCAGUCAUUCUAAUUGCCUUAAUACAAUUUAUAAGCUAAUGGUUCCCAAAUUUAUAUCUUAACCCUAACCUCUGGCCUUAUCUCACAGACUGUCUAUUUGGAAUCUCCACUCCACCCCUAAUUCACAUAUCAAAUUUAAGAUGUCAGAAAGGAGGGGUAAAAAAAAAAAUCUCUAGAUUUAAAAUCUCUGGACUUCCCUCUCCAAGCCUUUCCUUCUGCUACUGUUUCUCAUUAGAGUAAAUGGCACCAGUACUAUGGGACAUUCUCAGUCAGAGCUCUCUCUAGGCCUGAAGACCACCCAACACUCACCAUGUAAUUAAUUACCUUUUUCUUUCUUGCGGGAGACAAAAGGAAUUAACCAACUGUAACUAAUCUACUAUUCUGUAGGCAAACCCAUGAAGACCUGCGUGCUCCUUUCCCAAAAGAUAAAUUUUGUAAUCAGGGAAGAAAACAUGCAAUACCUACAAAAUUUCUACCAAAGAUUUUUUUCUUUGUCCAGAAAAUAAGCUUGUUCUUUAAUAAAAUGGAGGAAAAUGCAUCACCACUAAACGGCUUUGAUUGAGAUAUCUGACCACAGUGGAACCACGUUUCUACAGGGAAACAAUUAUCUGGUGCUGAGUGUCAUUGGGAAGUAGUAUUAAUCCUAUUCUAAAUGGGACUUGUACUCUACACUUCAUCCCUGGCCUGGCUUGCCUAUUUCUUUCAUUUAUUAUAUCUGCCUGGUAAAUGUUUAAGUUUUCAGCUCUUGGACUAAACCAUGAAGCUUUGCCCCACAUCUUGUUGGUAAAAGGGGCAAAUUAGCCAGACCCAAGAUAACAAUGCCUGAUUUUCCUUACCCACUCCCCAAUUCACCCUCAAAACAACGCUUGGACCCUAUGUGGCUUUAGAAUGUUUACCUGAAGUUUUUAGUAAAGAAACACCCAACCUCUCCCUCAGGGUCCAGUGUAUGAGAAGACUGCUGCAGAUGGAUGUGGGACAGAGAGAAGGGAACCCUGUUCCAGAGUCGCUAGACAGACAUUUCAUCCUGAAUUUCAAGGUGAUGACAAUGGGUUGAGAAGUGACUUGUCAAUGAGAGAGGAAGCGAGCAUGACCCCUGACUUUCCUCUUCCUGGAGAUGGGCUAUAGAUAAUCCCUGUGUGAAAGAUGGAGAGGAACAAAAUCACUGAUCUUUUACUAUCAGAGCUCCGGAAUGAAUGGCAAAUGUAAAAGCUUUCACUUCCUCACAUCUAGCCUCACAACUGUCCUGAAGCUGUAGUCAUAAGUGCCAAUGUCUAGACACAGAGGUGUUUACUCUGUACCCUGGCGCUCGCUGCAGCAUUUGACCUCACAGAAUCCUCCCCACCCGUAAGUUUCCCCCUUUCAGUUGCACCAUCCUAGUUUUCUUUUCCAUCUUCCUGGCUCUUCCUUACCUCUCCUUAACUUGGCUUCUCUUAUGAUUCCUGUUCCAUAAACAGACUUGUCUCCCUAGACUCUGUUGAUUGGAUAUCUCCUGAAUGUCCCAUAAUCACCUUAAGUUCUACUUUUCUUUCUCCCUUUAUUAGUUUCUAUAGACUAACCUUAAUUAAUGCUUAUAGUGACCCAAGAAAAGGAGAGCAUCUCUAUGAAAGCCCUUCUUGGGGUCUGAUAACAAUCCAAAUCACAGGGUGAAUUCAGAACAAUUGAAGACAAAGGGAAAAGAAACUUUAACAUUAACCUUCUUAGAAUAGAUAUUUUCAAGGGAGGAAGAGCACAGGAAAAGAGCCUAUUUACUACAGUGGACAGGAUAUGUAGUUUGAAAAAGCAUAGUAAAAAUUAUAAUUCUACAAUUAGAAGACAAAAAGUACCAUUUCAAUGACUACAAAUAAAAUUUUUUACUAAA